rnacentral:rRNA from 1 species
CAGCAGCCACGGGAAUACAGAGGAUGCAAGCGUUAUCCGGAAUGAUUGGGCGUAAAGCGUGCGCAGGCGGUUAUAUAAGACAGAUGUGAAAUCCCCGGGCUCAACCUGGGACCUGCAUUUGUGACUGUAUAGCUAGAGUACGGUAGAGGGGGAUGGAAUUCCGCGUGUAGCAGUGAAAUGCGUAGAUAUGCGGAGGAACACCGAUGGCGAAGGCAAUCCCCUGGACCUGUACUGACGCUCAUGCACGAAAGCGUGGGGAGCAAACAGGAUUAGAGACCCCCGUAGUCCCUGUCUCUUAUAC